rnacentral:rRNA from 1 species
UACGUAGGGUGCGAGCGUUCAUCGGAAUUACUGGGCGUAAAGCGUGCGUAGGCGGUUUGCCGUGUCCUGUGUGAAAGCCCCGGGCUCAACCUGGGAAUUGCAUGGGAAACUGGCAGGCUUGAGUGUGGCAGAGGAGGGUGGAAUUCCGCGUGUAGCAGUGAAAUGCGUAGAGAUGCGGAGGAACACCGAUGGCGAAGGCAGCCCUCUGGGCCAACACUGACGCUCAGGCACGAAAGCGUGGGGAGCAAACAGG